GGGGCUGUAGCUCAGUGGUAGAGCACUUGCCUAGCAUGCAUGAGGCACUGGGUUUGAUACUCAGCACCACA
rnacentral:tRNA from 1 species